rnacentral:rRNA from 1 species
GAAGGUGGCCUGUGAGGGUUGCUGGAGGUAUCAGAAGUGCGAAUGCUGACAUAAGUAACGAUAAAGCGGGUGAAAAGCCCGCUCGCCGGAAGACCAAGGGUUCCUGUCCAACGUUAAUCGGGGCAGGGUGAGUCGACCCCUAAGGCGAGGCCGAAAGGCGUAGUCGAUGGGAAACGGGUUAAUAUUCCCGUACUUGGUGUUACUGCGAAGGGGGGACGGAGAAGGCUAUGUUGGCCGGGCGACGGUUGUCCCGGUUUAAGCGUGUAGGUGUGUGUUCCAGGUAAAUCCGGUUCACUUUAACACUGAGGCGUGAUGACGAGG